GACCAUAAUACAGUGGUUGAAUACCGAAUCUUCAUUAUCCACUAGCACAUAGAAAUUACAUAGAAUCUCGAAGGAAUAAAGAAGAAGACAAUCCAAAUUCAAAAGUCCAAACUCAACAUCAACAAUUCAACUACUUAUUCUUGCUACUGCUAGCCGGCGUCUCGUCCUGCCAGGUUGCUUGCCAUUGCUUAUCAUAAAACGUCGUCUCUUCGAGUAGUUUCUUUAGGUUUUCAACAUCCUCAUUCUUGCGGAUCAGAAGCACUCCCCCUACAGCUACAAACAAUAAUGUUUUGCAGAAGAAAUUGCCCAGUAUCCACUGAUUCGAACUAUUACUGUCCCUCACAAUGUCGUUGUACUCUAUGCCACCUUUUUGAACUUUUAUCCUCUAUAGUCUGCACUUCCACAUUGUGAGAAGUCUCCGUUGAUGUAGCAAUAUCAUGAGUGAUGGCUUCAACAUUGGUCCGCCUAGUACCUUGAUUUUCUAUCCUUGAGCUUCUUAGUGACACCCCCGGCAAUUGAAAUGAAUGAUAUUUUUCUGCUACACCCAAACAAGUGUUUAAUUAUAAUCCAUAUGAUUACAAAGUAAAGCUUCUAAAAACAAAAAGUAGUCAUUAUCUUGAAUACUAGAUGAUUCAAAGCUCCAAAAUAUUCCGAAACUAAACAUUUUCUAACACUAAUGCUUUAGCACGUUCAAUCGCAAAGUCUCAUCAACUCGUUGUCACCAAAAGAGACUUACAAAAGAAAUGUAUAAAAUGAAUUAGUAUCCCAUUUAGGAACAUCGACAAUGAUUAGCAUGAAUCCAACAGAAGUAAAUGGUGGUUGGGGCGUUGGAAUACCAAGAAAGUCGAAUUGAAGAACACCCACCUCAGGGUUUCGUUGGGUGCGAGCCAAUUUGAGGGCCUUUCCUGCCAAAUUGGACUCAGCCACAGGUAUAAAGUUUACUCUACUUGUUGAGAUCUUCAUUCUUGUAAAAUUUUCCGAUAUGUGACAUUCGAUUUAUGAAAAUGCUGUUGAUUGUAUAUAUUAUCGAUAAGGUCUGCCACUUGAUUAUUCUAACAAUUGAUGAUCUUAUCAUUGAAUUGACACCAAAUUUUAGUAUGAUAUUGUAGAUAUUGUUUAAGGACCUUAGGGACUUAUAAGUGAAAAUCUAGUGAUUGGAUUUUACGAAGCAAAUGACAUAAGAUCAUGGACCCUACAUUAGAACGACAGUUCGAUUCCUCAUUAAAUAUUGUUGUGGGAGACAUAUGAGGAUUUUUUAGUAUGUGAAUUAUCGAAGGAAAUCUAAAUGUGGACUUGUGCUUUGUUAGGCGGUGAUAGAACGUGAUGCCUUGACUAUCGUGCUAGGGUACAUUAACACGGACUCUAGGUGAGUGACUUUAAUAUAUGUGAUAUUGGUAAUUACCAGGUUGUCAUAAUUAUGAUCCUGUGUGGAUAUGAAUUGGUUUUAUGAAUAUGUUCUAUUGAAUUGUUAUUCCAAUACUUUGACAUCAAUUUAUGUUUAUGAAAUGGGGUGUGGCAUGUAUAUUGGAAAUGUGGUUUGAUUUCUAUGAUUGGCAUGUUGAGAUUAAUGUGAGGACUAGUAAUGGACCGUUAACCAUUAUGAUGGGGAUUUGUUGCUUCGAUAUUGUUUCACUUUCCGCUUCGGUGAUUGGUUCUAAAUUUAGUAAUUGUGCCUAAUCUCCCUUUGUUGAGUUUUUGUAAAUUAAGUAGCCUGUGCUGGUCUCAUUUCUUUGAGUCGUCGUACAUUUUGGUUGUUGGUAUUCUGUGAUUCUAUUGAGUGAUGGUCCGGAAUCGUAUCCACUCGGAUUCCGUUGAGAGAUGGUCCGGAAUCCUUUCUAUUCCGCAAUUUCGUUGAGUGAUGUUCCAGAAUCAUAUCUAAUUUGAGUUUCAUUUAGUUAUUGUUAUGUAUUGUACUUAGCGAUUCCGUUGAGUGAGGGUCCAGAAUCGUAUCCACUUGGAUUCCGUUGAGAGAUGGUCCUGAAUCCCUCUUAUUUCGCGAUUCCGUUGAGAGAAGGUCCGGGAUCGUACUCACCUUAGGAUUUAUUGAAUUUGAAUUGAGAUGGCUUCAAAGGUGUAGGCUUCGGCCAAACUAUGUCGCUCUAACUCUACUUUUCAUUGUGUUGUAUGAGAAGAUGGUUGUGAGAUGUUGUGAUUGGUUUCAGACGAACCGUUGGAUGUCUAGGUGACUCCUUCGGGGUUUACAAAAGUUGGUAUUUAUUUCUUAUGAAUGAUUUAUAUUCAAGAUAUGUAAACUGUGUUUGAUGGUUGGCAUUAGCAUUAUUCUCACAUACUUGAUAUUAUUGUCACUCUCAUAAGCUUCCUAACUUAUCCAAGUUGUUGUUUGCCUGGUGCACCAUUCUGAUGGUGUAGGCACUAAUCGUACAGGUGACAGGUUUGAGUAGACUCCGAGAAGUUUGUAGGUGGGAGUAGCAGUGCAGUUAUCAGAGACUUGGAGCGUUAGGUUACCCUUGUUUCACUCUUGUACUUUAUCUUUUGGGACUUUCUUUUGAGCACCUCAUACUUGUUCUUAGUAAAGCAAACAUUAUGCUUCUUUUUGGGAUGUAAUUAUUUGUAAAUAUUUUGUGGAGAACUUAGCCACCUUCACAUUAUUUUGGGUUAUCAGUUAAAGUAUUUCAUUCCGUAACUUAUACCGUAUUCAACGAACGUUAUUUUCCUUGUCAUGUGUCGAUUCUCGACAUAUGUUGGGAUCAGAACGUGACACUAAUGAUCAGUUCGGAUCUUCAGGAGGAAGAUCGACUUCUGUUUAAGUCUGUUCUAAAGUAGAUUACUAGAAAAUUCUAUUUUUCUAACUUUAGAACACUCAAACCAAUACUAAUUUCCCACAUUACUUUUGGUGCUAUACUCGUCAUUUUGAUGAGCAUUGGCACGGGAGUAAGAAUUGUUAUAUCUAUGGUUAGUAGAAAUCCCCGAAGUAGUAUGUAUUUUCCCUCGAAUUAUGGAACCAGCUCUUAGUACCAGUUCUUUACCAAUCACCUUAAACCAUCCACCUAAACGGGCUCUAAUAUGUAACUAGUCUAUGGUGGCGCUACUGAUUGAUGAUAUUGUUCAAUAUCCUAGAACUGUUAGCCAGCAUUCAAGCAGUAGAACUUCUGAUAUCCGACACAUGCUAGUAUCUGGAAGUGAUACUUCUAUGCCAAAAUGUUGGAUCACAGUUUCAGGGUAACGAACAAUAUCAAAAAUCAUAAAUCUGUUAAUUAGAGCGCGACCAAAUAGACUGACUAAUAGUUACUGCUGAAGCCUAAGAAACUAAAUCUCAUAAAGUUAGGGGCAAACUUUGUAUUAAGACAGUAAACUCAUGGUUAGGUUAACCAUAUUACCUAUUUAGGUAAUCAAAACUUCUUCGACUAGCCAUCUCUCCCUCACUUCCUCAAAUAGACAAUAGAAUCAAAAUACAAGAUGAUAUCUCUCUGUUUGAGUGAUUUGAGUGUCGAGAAAACUGUGAAGACAGUGCAGUAGAGUUGGUUAGUAGUAUAAUAUGUUUUGAGGAUGUUUACCUAUGGCAUCAAUUCUCAAAUUUUUACUUAAGAUGCCACUGAAUGAAUACACCAUUGACCCACCUUGUUAACAUCACAUUUAUUCUCUCUAUUUCUUAUCAAACGACUCUUAUAUCAGUUUUCCUUAUGACUUUUCAAACAAGUCCUACUUCAUUGAAAGAACUUGGUUAAUAAACACUUUAUCUUGGAAAUCUCAAAUCCAUCUGCGAAGGUGAAAGACUGAGCUUUAGGAUCGUACCUAGAUUUUAGCAACUUCCUCAGACAAGGAUUAAAAACCGUUAUCCCUUACUUUGAGUUGAUGGUCUAAUCGACCAACCUUUGUAACUCGAGUUUCCUUCUAUAGUUUGACGAAUUCAUAAUAGUCUUGUAGACGACUAUCUCACCUAUUCUAGUAACGAGAUUAAAUUCUCCAAUUAUCAACAGUCAGCUUCACAUCAAAUUCCUCAAAUAUCACCUUUGUGUAAAUUGGUACUUCUCCUGAGAGAUGUGAUUUUUGUAAAUGAUAUUCUUUUCUUUUCUCCAAAAAGGUAGUAGCAUAAGAAAGUUGGAAUUCUCACCAAGUGUUGUGAAAUUCGAGACAAUCUUUGGUCUUGUCGAAUUUAUUGACAAAUUGUUAUCGAUUUUUUUUACUAUAGAGUUUUUCCUCACUUGUCGACCAAGGAAAUUUAGUUUGGUUUGGGAUGUUAAUUAUGAAUAAAGUUUCACUGUUGUCUCACCUUACCUUUUCUUUACACCUUUUGAUGACAUUGAUCAUUUAGAAAUCCAUGAUGACGUGUUCUCCGAAUGAUUCGACUGUGUUGAGGCAGCAUGACGAAAAAUCGCUUAUACUUUCCAACGGUUAAAACCGUUCAAAAUGAACCAUCCUAUUCAUUACUAGAGUCAAGUGUUAUUACCUUCAUUUGAAAUAUCGGAUGACACUUCUCGGUGAGAACGUAUCUAGAACCUUUACCAACAUUAGAUUUCUCAAAUACAUCUUCAUUUGAGAUAAGCUAAAAUUUCUGAUAGUGAUGAUGGAAGAACUAAAUCAACUUCUACGAUUGCACUAUCGUGUAUUAUCCCGAUUGUGCAAAUGUAAUUACUACUUAAUGCAACAAAAGACAUAUGAAUACUUGAACACUUUCGACCUGUCCUAUCCUGCCUCAGUUGGAAUUCACAGGUAUUGUUUUGACGUCACUUGCGAGAUAUCAAGAAAUGGUUUGAAUAGUCAUAAUCACUUCUUGUAUAUGAAGGGAGUUGGGAAAUAUCAUCAUACACUUUCGGUAUGAGGUAUCUUGUACAUGUGGAGAUGAUGAUGAUGUUUCGAUGUUUAUAGAUCGACUUGACAAGUCAACCCAUUUUUCAUUGGUCCAGAGGGACUACAUUUUUUACCACUUGGAAAAAUUCCUCAUUCAUGAAAUUAUUAGAUUUCUCGGGCAUUUAGACUAGUGUCUAUUCUGGUGAGGAUUCCAUAUUCAUCUCUUUGUGCUGGAAGGUAUUAUAAUCAAUUUUGGGUCUAUGUCUACCCUACUACACUUUGUAUUAUUUUUCAAACAGGAAAAUCUUCUAGAGCAGUUGCUACGACAUUGACAUUUAGUCGUGAACAUUAAUUUCUCAAUCACCCAACAAAUAAUCUGCUAAACGAAUCUUAACUGUUGGUGAUUGAAUGUUCUAGAAGCUACCGUUGUAGCGAGAUGUCAUACGUUAAUUUCAAUUACCUUGUAUUCUAGAUUUGUUGGACUUGUUUGACCUUCAAAUUGUUGACGGUUCUUAUUGGUGUAGUUUUGCUAAAUUCGAGGGAAAUUCAAUAUGAACCUGCUCACUAUGGUGUUAUGAACUGCAUUGUUGGGUUAUGUGGUGUGUAUGUCGCUACUAUCCAAAUCUUGAAGGACAUAUUGCUUUUGAAUAUUUUACAGUUUUAGCCAGUCAUGGUAGGCACUUACCUUGGUUAGAGUUAUGUGUAACUACGGUUACAUUUCUGGUUUGGCUAUGGUAUUGUUUGAGCCUUGGUAUAGAGAUUCUAUGCACGGAACAUGUUUGACAAAUGAGUAUUGCGAACAGGUAUUUGAAUAAUCGAGAUUAUGAUAUAAAAAAUAAUAAAAAAUUAUGAUUAUUGUUUAUGUUACCCGUGAGGGUAGUGCAUGAGCACGAUUGAGACUUGGAUCAGACGAUGUAAGUAUAUUUCCCAAUGAGGGGCAAUAUGGUAAUAUGGCACCCUCGGGAAUUUGUUACUUGCUUAUCGAGACAACAGUAAGUUGUUGGUAUUGUGGGCUGCAAAUCGUAAUAUCAAUAACUUAUUUGUUGGGUUUGUUAAGCAAGUAGACAAGUAGGUCAUUCUACGUUAGCAUUUGUAUUUACUUAUUUAAUUAGUUAUUCAUUGUCUAGGCUCGACCCAAAUAUACUACAUGCUUAUCUUCGGAGCAUGUAACGCAAUGAGUGCGUAGGUGAAAAAUAGUCUAUGAUCAGUUUUAAUUUCAGUACAAUAACUUUAUGUUAUUAUAUAUGUAUUUUGAUAGGAUCUUAUUAUACAUAUAUAAAUAUUUUUGACUGUAUGUUUUAUAAAAGCGUAUAUUAUAGUAUUGUACUGAAGGAGAAGGAAAGUUUGAGUUUGGAGGCAUGAAAAAAGAAUCAUUUCAAUCUGAUCGCGACAGAAUGACAAUCUCUUUUAUGCAACCACUCUAAAUUGAUAUCUUCCUUACAUAUCUAUUUCUCUGCUAUCUUUUCACUACUUUUGUAUAACAAUGGUUUUAAAUUUCAGGGACGAAAUUUUUUAUGGGGGUAGAUUGUGACAACUCUUCCUUAAUUUUAAGUUUUAUAAAAUUUAAAGUAGUGAUUUUACGAAAAUGCCCUUAGAGGCGAGGAUGUUUGACUUUCGUUGGCCGUUUGAAGUCACAAUUAAUGUCUCCGAAUAGAUCUCAAAGCCACGAAAGCAUAGGUGAAAGCCGUUUGCGAAUCUGGGCUUUAACGGUUUAGUUACGGACAUUUGAAGUCGUUUUACUAAGCUAUGAAUUUUAGAUUGAUUAAAACUCCCACCAUGUGGGAAUUUUAACCAAUCAAGGUUGAGGACCGGCCCAAUCAUAUUAUUUUUAGGACCAAUCAGAGAUUAGGGGGGAAAAAGGAAGGACCAAUCAGGAAAGGUGAGAAAGAACCACCAUUUCCCGUCGACCCGUCCAUGCGCAACAACCUGAUUUCAAACCAGUGUGAAUUCCGGCCAAUCUCAUCCAUUUUUCAGGUGAAACUCAACCAUCCAUCACCUGCAAUCUUUUCUACAACCUCCCCUCUACCAUCUCCACCCAAAUUCGAAGGUUUUUAGGUCCAAAACCGUGUAGAACCUCACCAGAGCACCGGAGGUGCUCGACGGUGAUUCCUCCGAUCCGACAAGUACAACCACCCAUAACUACCAUUAAUCAACUUCCCUUGGACCCAAGAACAAGACCCAACCAUUUGGAACACUGAGGAAGGAGAAUCAAAGUUCACCCAUUUUAGGGUUUCGGCUGGUUUGAGUGAAAUUGGAGCCUUUCCCGACCAAAUUGGACUUGGUCACAUGUAUAAAACUUCCUCUACUCUUAGAGAUCUUCAUUUCUAUAAAAUUUGAGAAUUUUUUAAGAUAGUUGAAUUUUUCAACGAAUCAGGGCGACUAACUGCCGUGUGCGGCGGCGCGUGGCAACGACACGUGUGCCGAGUCACCCCUGACCUUCCUAAGCUAAGUUUGACACCUCAAUUCCAUAGGUGAAGUCCGAUUGAUGAAAUCUCAUUGUUUGAACAUAGUUUUGAUAAAGACCGUUACUUGAACAUUAUGUGAAUUGACAAUCCGACCGUUGGAUCGUCAUCAACCUUUAAUACAUUAUAGUAUGUAAUAUUUGAGAAUAUUAGAAACUUACAGAUUGAGAAUUUACGUACGAAUCUUCCCGAAUUGGAUUUGUAAGUUCGUGAAAAUAAAACGUUGACCGCCAUUUGAAUUUUGCAAUUGGCAAAGAUCCAACCGUUGGAUCAUAAUGAAACUUAAAUAUGAUGUUCUAAAAGAAUAAUGUGGAUCUUUAGCAGUUACGGAUCGGAAAUCCAAGAUGCGGAUCUUUCAGAUUGAGUUACGUAGGGUUGUGACCCUACCGUUGAUCUUUGAUUGACGGUUGACUUUUGGUCAAUGGGUCUAAAAUCAUUCUAGAACGUCCUUGGGGAUGUGUUUUAUGUAAGUUACGUGUUCUAUCAAUAAGAAUUCUGAGACGUGACUAAAUAUUUGGUCACAGGCGACGAUCGUUCGUGACGCCUUGAUAUUUGUGCUAGGGAUUUGUUGUGCGGACCUCAGGUGAGUGGGUCCUUUCCUUUUUAUCGUAUAUUUAUGAUUGAUAGUUCCACAAAUGCUUUUAAAUUGAUUUAUGCAUUUUAUGCCACGUCAUAUAUGUAUAUAUUUAAAUACUAUGAUAUGGUUAAGUUUUAGAUUGCAUCAUGGCAUAUCCAUAUGCAUAUUACCUACAUAUAAUUUUUGUGAAUGCUUUGAAGUGCUAAGGUGAACGUGGGACAUGCAGGUAAGUUCAGGUGUUAUUUGAAAUGAUUGAGUUAUGGCAUGACUAUAUUUGUUAUUUAUGCAAUUCCGACACUGUCGUACAUGUUGCAAUAAUAGGCAACUCCAACACUGUCAUAUAACUCCGACACUGUCGUACAACUUCGACACUGUCGUACAGGUUGCAAUGAUAGGCAACUCCGACACUGUCAUACAUGUUGCAUUAGGCAACUCCGACUUGUGUGUUAUCAUAGAUUGAUUUAUGAGUCGUACAUGUUGCAUUAGGAAACUCCGACUCGUAUGUCAACAUAGAUUGAUGAGCACCUAAUUUUAUUAUGCUGCUGCCAAUAUGAAGUGAUUUAGGAAUUUUUCUGGAUUUACUGUUGAUUUGCAUUUGAUUUCAUACUUAUACGUAGUAUGAUUUUCUGGAAAUUAUACAGGUUUUAUAUGGAGGGAUUAUAACGUUUCAGAAGGUUUUUAUUAAAACUUUAUUUUCAGGCCCACUCACCUUUGUUUUUUUUUUUUCAACCCUUCAGGUUUUAAUGGCUGAGCUUUCUUAUCGACGAGGAUUCGUGGCAAAUCUUGGUAUUGGAGAUUACCUUCGAUGGUAGGAUUCUCAAUCCACUCUAUUGUAUUUUACUUAUGAUUUGACAUCACGUGUGAAAUGGAUUCGUUCCCACUCACAGCGCACUCUCGUAUUUAGGCAUUUUUAGGUUUAAAUUCAUUCACAUUUUCCACAUUAUUACACUUUAUAGCUUCGUCACCUUCCAGGUGUCAACUAGCACAACUCGAUUCAGAGUCCUAGUGGACAAUCUGAGUCAGGUUGUGUCACAUACUCAGCAUGGCCAGUGCAUGACUUCAACCGACAUAUCUUAUAGCAGUAGCGCCACUAAUGGAAGGCAGGCUCAUCUAAUCCAUACUUCAUCCAAAUAAUAUAAAACCAAAUCAAGGUAUCCCAUAAACCAGGAUUGAGUUAUCCAAGCGCAUAUCCAAUAAGAGAUAGCACAUUUUGCAGCCAUGGGUGCAAGGGUAGCGUUAGCCCUAAAGUCACUAGUAUCUGGGUGUAGAACAUAACGUGACCCUUAGGCGGCUCAGUGAGCAAUUCUUCAUCAUGCACCAAGCGCAUUCCUACACUAUUGGGUACAUGACUGCCUUCAGGCCUCAAACUGCUCUUCACUAUCUAACAAGUUUUUAUCUAUGUGGUCCACCAUGAACUCAGAGCGAAAGAUGGGUAUGGCAUCAAGAGCAAUCCCCCCCCCCCAACAUGUAGGAGGUAGAACCAAUAUCGGAUAAGGUUACAUCCCUGGACCUACGCUUCUCACUUAUCCCUUCAUCGGAAGCUUGGGGAGAAAGAAAUGGAAUGCAUGUUUGAUGAUCGUGAAGGUCAUCCAAUGUUUCUUUUACACAAGACUCUAACAAAGGCCCUGAAGACUCUGACAUUGCAGGCUCAAACCUAAAGCUAUAGCUAGGGGAGCCCGCAUCACUAGGACCUCCAAGCUUUAACAUCUACAACAAAUAGAAACAAACUUUGUCACUACGUAAAGGAUCGAAACCUAAAAGGUUCCUAGGGCAUGAAGAAAGCUCAACCAGUUCAUUAUGUUCUUAACCAAUUGCAUAGAAACUCAACAAUUCAACAAGAAUGAAAGCAUUUGAUCUAAUUAAGAAGGCUACCAACCUGAAGAUGGUGUCAAGCACUGUCGGAAUCCUUCUCAACUAGAGAGCACUAUAUCUUCAAAAAAUCACUACAAAAUGAGCAAAUGAAAGCAAUGUAAGAAGUGGAAACUCAUCCUUCUUAUAUAGUUCAACAUGGGUAAAGAAAUUCAAACUCAACCCAUGAGAAAGCCCCACAUGUCAAGCCUUGAGACUUCUACACAAGCUAAAUAAAAAACUAAAAAAUAAAAAACCAAAAAAUAUUUAAUUAUUAAUUAUUAAUUACUAAUUAGUUAACUAAUUAAUAAUUAUUUCAAUAGUUAUUAAUCAGUUAAUUAAUUGUUAAUUACUAAUUAAUUAGUUAUUAGUCAACUAAUUAAUUGAUUAAUAAUCAUUAAUUAAUUUCACACAUAGAAUACGACAACAACAUGUAAAAGCUUUACACAUUGUUGAUCAAGAUAGUGUGAAGCAAAAUCAAUUUAUAGUGCCCAACAAAAGCUUCAACACAUAGGAGGCAACUCCAACAUGUAAAAGUUUCACACACUCUUGAUCAAGAUAGUGUGAAGCAAAAUCAAUUUAUGGUGCCUAACAAAGCGUCACCUACAAAGCUUCAACCUAAAAGUUUCACCUACAAAGUUUCGACAUAAAAGUUUCACCUAUAAAGUUUCGACAUAAAAGUUUCACCUACAAAGCUUUGACCUAAAAGCUUCACCUACAAAGCGUCGACCUAAAAGCUUCGACCUAAAAGCUUCAUCUACAAAACUUCAACCUAAAAACUUCACCUAUAAAACUUCAACCUAAAAGUUUCACCUACAAAGCUUCAACCUAAAGGCUUCAACUACAAAGCUUCAAUCUAAAUGCUUCAACCUAAAGGCUUCACCCAUAAAGCUUCACCUAUAAAGCUUUAACUAAAAAGCUUCAACACUGCAACAUGUAAAAAGCUUCGUACACUCUUGAUCAAGAUAGUGUGAAGCUAAAUCAAUUUAUGAUGUCCUACGAAUAGCUUCAACUAUGCAAGCUAUAUGUCCAAACAAAAACCUACAACCAAAAAUCUACGAUCAAUAAACAUAUACCCAUUCAACCAUUUUUCAAACUCAAAAUUACAACAACAAAUACAACUACCACCCAAAUCUGAUUAAAAUACUGUCACAUGAAAGGUGGGGACCCUGUGAAGUCUAACUUAUGAUCAAGACUUGUAGGCAAGAGACAUAACUAUAUGUAGAAAAGAAGGGACCACAUCUACAAAUUAAUUACAACAUGUUGGUGAAUUCACUAUAGAUAGAAAAUGAGGUAGGCACGUUUGACUAAAUGAAAGAAUAUGCAACUGUUGGUGGAUUAAAUAACAGAAAAAUACAGUCAAACAUUCAAGUAACAAUGUUAACAUUGGGUACAGACAAUGCCAACAGAAAAUAACCUUGGCUUAACAACACCCCUACUGAUACUUCCCAUUUCCCUCUCGCUCUUUCCUUCUCGAUCAAACUUCACCAGCGGCACUCACCGCCCCAACUGUAAUAAACCCCAUGGCAGCCUUUAUCAAAACCUAGAAACAACCUACCUCACCCCAUGAUGACCCCCUUUGCACUUUCAAACCUAAAACCACAACAAGCUCUGAAUAGACACACUGUUCACCGUCCACCACGAAUUCUACAAACCAAGAGCACAACCCAGCCUUCAAACCUUCCCAGCCACGUUAUCACUUACAAGCUUCACCCUCAGACCCUUAGCCCACCUGCGAACCCAUCUCUGACCUACCUGCGAGUUCACAGCCACCUACGAUGACACCUGAAGGUCCACCGUAGACCUCUGAACAGAACGGGAUGGCCUGGUCGUGGGGGGGGGCAAGGUCGAAAAGGGUGGAGGACUGGGUUGAGGGCAAUCGAAUGGAUGACGAAUGGGUGAAGUCGAAUGGGUAUGGGACUGCUUGUCUAGAAAUGACAACCGUGAAUUUUGUUUUGGUAGUUCCAAGAAACUAUGGAAGAAGGCACAUACAAAGCAUAAAGGGUUAAGGUUUCAGACAAAGGCUAGGCCUCGGGCCAUUUUGAACAAAGGCUGGGUUUUCUUUGACUUUUUCCUUGGGCCAUGAGGUACUUAAUGAGGCAGUGGACCUCCUUUCCCUUAGGCCUAAGCAAUUUUUUUUUCUUUUCUUAAAAGAGAAUUAAAGUGAAAGCCUUUUGCCUAAGCUUACAAGACUUUGGGCCUUAAAACUUAAAAUGAAAAGUCUUGGACUACAACUUGAAUGAAGGAGUGAGCAAUAUUAAAAAGUUUCAUAACCUUGACAAAUUGGCAAUGAGUAAGACAUCUUAUUCGGUAACUCUCCUCGAUCGGAGACUUGGGGAAAUCCUACUAUAUGCUACUACACCUCAGUACUCAGAAGUUUUUUUUAUUACUCAAUGAAUUGGAUUUGUCAAGUCCCUAACCGAGAAGCUUUCCUCACUCAAAAACUUAGGGGAGCACUGUUUGUACCAUACUUAACUAAUCUCGAAACUACCGAGCACUGGUCAACGUCAUCCCUUCAAGGACGCACUGAGGGGCUCAUGUUAAGGCACCCCUGUUGAAGCACAAGAGUUUCCUUCCAACUAGGAGUCCAAUCAUAGCACAACACAUGUCAACGUCAUAAUAAAGCUCACAAAGUCCCACAUCGACCGCGGAUAAAAGCUGGAGACUCCCAUCAACUAUAAAAGAAGAUCAUUCUCCUACUAUUAAUCCCUAAUGCCAUUAUUGUACUUAAACUAGUCAUUAGAACCCACUGAUGAUAAUUAUGCUUAAACUUAUGUAUUUGUGUAAACCCUUCACUAUUAAUAAGAAAUUCUCUACUCCGUGGACGUAGCUAGACUUAAGGGUGUACCACGUACAUCUUGUGUUUGUUUCCCUAUCUCUAUCUAUUUACAUAUUAUCCACACCAGGUGACCGAAGCAACCGAGCGAAGGUUACAAACUUAAUAUUUUAUGUUGUUCCAAAGUCUCUUGAUUUUGUGCAUCAACAAAAUAAAAUAAAAUAAAAUGAUAAAUUAAUAAAAGAAAAUAAAAAGUAAAAAUAAAAAAAUCUUAAAAAAAUAUUUUUUUUUAAAAAAGAACAAACGCACACACUUUUAGGAUAUAUUAUUUUUAUUUCUCAAAAAGAAAAAAAACAAAUCCAUAUAUCUUUAUUUAAAUAAAUAAUAAUCACGUGAUGGUUUUCAAGUCGAGAACAAUUUAUAUGAUAUGAGAUAUUUUUCUAAGUAUAAAGUAUUCAAGCGUUUUUUCACAUGUCAUAAUAGAAAUAGAUAAAAUGAUAUAUUUUUGGAUAUCCCUCGAUCUAUUUUAUAACACAUUGAGUAUCUGCUUGAAUACCGGACACAUAAAAAGUUUCUCGUAUGACAUAAUAUAUCGUCAUGGUGACCUUGCGUGCUAAUAUAAUAAAAAUACAUGUAAAUUCUUAUUCUAAUGUCUUUGUUUUAUUGUCACAAAAUGUUAAAUGGUAGUAUACUCUUACUUUUUGUUGUUGUCAUGUUAGUCACACCAAAAAAAUCGAUGACGAAAUUAGUGGAAGAUGUGAUGAUGUACACACUAAUGAUGUUCAGCUUGCUUGGCUUUCAUGUCCCAUCUUCUUCUUAAAUGUUCUACGCACCACUCGAAUUCUCCACAAGAGUGAUCAGACAUUGUUUUCUUUGUACACACUUAAUGGUGCCUACUUUGAGGCCCCAAACUCAGGUAAUAUGGCUGAUGGAGUAGGUGGUCGGCUUAAAAAUCAUAAAUUCAUACGACCCUAACAAUGAAAACAGAACAAGUCAAUUUUUGGGAGGCUUCGUCAAGCAUGGUCUACAAUCUGUCCAUUUUAAAAAGUUUCAUUACCUUGACAAAUUGGCAAUGAGUAAAACACCUCAUUUGGUAACUCUUCUCGACCAGAGACUUAAGGGACUCCUACUAUAUGCUACUACACCUCGGUACUCAGAAAUUUAAUGAUUACUCAAUGACUUGGAUUUGUCAAGUCCCCAACCGAGAAGCUUUCCUCACUCAUAAACUUCGGUGAGCAUUGUUUGUACCAUAUUUGACUAAUCCUGAACUACCGAGCACCGGUCAACGUCAUACCUUUGAGGAACCACUGAGGUGUUCAUGCUGAGGCACCCCUACUGAAGCAGAAGAGUUUCCUUCCAACCAUGAGGCCAAUCACAGCACGACAUAUGUCAACGUCAGAGUAAAGCUCAUAAAGUCCCACAUCAACUGCAGACAAAAGCUAGACUCCCAUCACUUAUAGAAGAAGACCACUCUCUUACAAUUAAUCUCUAAUGUCAUUAUUGUACUUAAACUAGUCAUUAGAACCUACUUGUGAUAAUUAUGCUUAAACUUAUGUAUUUGUGUAAACUCUUCACUAUUAAUGAGAACUCCUUUACUCUGCGGAAGUAGCCAGACUUAGGGGUGAACCACAUACAUUUUGUGUUUGCUUCCCAAUCUCUAUCUAUUUACAUAUUAUCCACACCUGGUGACUGGAGCAACCGAGCGAAGGUCACAAACUUGACAUUUUACGUUGUUCUAAAGUCUCCUUGAUUUUGUGCAUCAACAAAAUAAAAUAAAAUGAUAAAUUAAUAAAAGAAAUAGAAAGUAAAAAUAAAAAAUCUUUAAAAUAUAUAUAUUUUUUUAAAAAAGAACAAAUGCACACACUUUUACGAUAUAUUAUUUUCAUAGGAAAACUAACAAAAAAUCCUAAAAAAACUUUAGUUUUAAUGAAAAAUGGCAAAUAAAGGUGUAGUGAAUAGUACAAGGGAAAGGUAAAAAUGUGGUUUUUCGUUAAAAGUGAACAGUAUUGGGAGUAUUUCGUUAAAACUCCCUAUUUUUAUUUAUCAAAAGAAAAAAACAAAUCCAUAUAUCAUUAUUUAAAUAAAAUAAUAAUCACGUGAUGGUUUUCAAGUCAAGAACGAUUUAUAUGAUAUGAGAGAUUUUUCUAAGUAUAAAGUAUUCAAGCGUUUUUUCACAUGUUAUAAUACAAAUAGAUAAAAUGAUAUAUUUUUCGAUAUCCCUCGAUUUAUUUUAUAACACAUGGAGUAUCUGCUUGAAUACUAGGCACAUAAAAAAUUUCUCAUAUGACACAGUAUAUCAUCAUGGGACAUUGAGUGCUAAUAUAAUAAAAAUACGUGUAAAUUUUUAUUUUAAUGUCUUUGUUUUAUCGACACAAAAUGUUAAAUGGCAGUAUACCCUUACAUUUAGUUGUUGUCAUUUUGGUCACACCAAAAAAAUCUAUGACGACAUUAGUGGAAGAUGUGAUGAUGUACACACUGAUGAUGUUCAGCUUAGCUGUCAUGUCCCAUCUUCUACUUAAACGUUCUACGCACCACUAGAAUUCUCCACAAGAGUGACUAGACAUUGUUUUCUUUGUACACACCUAAUGGUGCCUACUUUGAGGCCACAAACUCAGGUAAUAUGGUUGAUAGAGUAGGCGGUCGGCUUAAAAAUCAUAAAUUCAUAAGGCCCUAGCAAUGAAAACAGAACAAGUCAAUUAUUGGCAGGCUUCGUCAAGCACGGUCCACAAUAUGUCCAUUUUAAAAAGUUUCAUUACCUUCACAAAUUGGCAAUGAGUAAGACAUUUCCUUCGGUAAAUUUCCUAGACCGAAGACAUGGGGGACUCCUACUAUGUGCUACUACACCCUGAUACUUAGAAGUUUCAUGAUUACUCAGUAACUUGGAUUUGUCAAGUCCCCAACCGAGAAGCUUUCCUUACUCAAAAACUUAGGGGAGCACUAUUUGUACCAUACUUGAUCAAUCCCGAAACUACCAAGUACCAGUCAACAUCAUACAUUCAAGAACCUACUUAGGGGUUCAUGUUAAGGCACCCCUGCCGAAGCACAAGAGUUUCCUUCCAACCAGGAGGCCAAUCACAACACGACACAUAUCAACAUCAGAAUAAAGCUCACAAAGUCCAACAUCAACCGCGGACAAAAGCUGCAGACUCCCAUCAACUAUAGAAAAAGACCAUUCUCCUAAAAUUAAUCUCUAAUGUCAUUAUUGUACUUAAACUAGUCAUUAGAACCCACUGAUGAUAAUUGUUGAUGCACAAAAUCAGUGGGGACUUUGGUACAACAGAAAAUGUUAAGUUUGUGACCUUCGCUAGAUUGCUCCGGUCACUAGUGUGGAUAAGUAUGUAAAUGGAUAGAGACAGGGAAGCAAACACAAGAUGUACGUGGUUCACCCAGAUUGGCUACGUCCACAGAGUAGAGGAGUUCUCAUUAAUUGUGAAGGAUUUAGUACAAAUGACAUUAGGAAAUAUUGUGGGAAAUAUUAUGAGUACAAGUGAAUGAUUUAGUACAAAUGACAUUAGGAAAUAUUGUGGAAGAAUGAUCUUUGGCAAAGUUAUCUAUGGCACCCGAGGAACUGAUGUUGUGUGUGGGGAUUGUCGACAUAUUUUACUCAGAAAAAUUUGCUUCUCGAAAUCCGGAGAGUGGUGCCUCUUCGAUUUUUAAACCAACGGCCCUGUUGCCCUUUCUUUUAUAGGGGCACCAAUUGUGUGCAAGAAGUACGUGCAGAGAGUUAUUGCUUGUAGGAAUUUUCCCCUUAUUUUUGUACUUCAGAGAUUUAUUGCACCUCAUUUCUCCUUCAUCAUUUUUUAGAAUAUCUGGCUCAUCCGACCGUCGUUUUGACUUGAACUUUGGUGAAGAGGCAGCCAUGCCUUCUCAAGACAACAUAUGGUGCCCAUCCUUCUUAUUCCCUACUGGUCAUUUUACCGUUGGGGACUCUAUGAUGAAGAAUGAUAUGACCACUGCGGUGGUGGCCAGGAACCUUCUCAUUCCCAAAGAUAACAAACUACUUUCCAAACGGUUUGAUGAGUUGGCUGUUAAGGAUUCUCUGGCUCUCAGUGUUCAGUAUGCAGGUUCUAUGUCUAAUAUGGCCCAACGCCUAGUUGUUCGAACCCACCAAGUUGAAUCAUUGGCAGCUGAAGUGAUAAGUGUCAAACAGGAGAUUAGAGGGCUCAAGCAUGAGAACAAACAAUUGUACAUGCUCGCACAUGACUAUGCUACAAACAUGAAGAGGAAACUUGACCAGUUGCAGGAAUCUGAUGGUCAGAUUUUACAUGAUCAUCAUAGGUUUGUCGGUUUGUUCCAAAGGCAUUUAUUGCCUUCACCUUCUGGGGCUGUACCGCGUAAUGAAGCUCCAAAUGAUCAACCUUCGAUGCCUCCUCCUUCUGGGGUUCUGCCCAGUACUGAGGCUCCGAAUAAUCACCCUCCGGUGCCUCCUCUUUCUGGGGCUCUGCCGACUGCUGAGACUUCUCCAGAGCAACCUUUGUGAAGGUUCCCUCUUGUUUGUUUAUUUUGAUUCAUGUAUAUGUACAUAUUUGUAACUUAUCGGAGAUAUCAAUAAACAAGUUUUGCUUCAUUUCAAUGUAUUGUGGUAAAUACACCAAGGCCUUCUUCACUAAGUUCUUUGAAUUUUUUCUUUUGUUGAAGCUUGUAUGUUGAAGCUUUGUGAGUGAAGGAUGUAUGUUGAGGUAGUGCUCCCUUAAUUUCCUGAGUGAGGAAAACUUCUCGGUUGGAGACUUGAAAAAUCCAAGUCACUGAGUGGUCGUGAGACUUCCGAGUAUCAAGGUGUAGUAGCAUAUGGUAGGAGUCCCCUAAGUCUCCGGUCGAGGGAGUUGACGAAUGAGAAAUUUCCUUUCUAAGUGGUAGCCCAAAACUUCUCCUUCAUAUAUAUUUGUUAUGAAAGUUGUUAGGCCCAAAGAAGAGGAGGCCUAGGCAAUUUAUUUUUUUUCGAAUUUUCGAAUUUCUGAAUUUUUGAAUUUUUGAAUUUCCGAAUAUAUAUAUAUUAAGCUUUCUAGGUGAAGCUUUGGUGUUGAAGCUUUGUAGGUUAAGCUUUUUAGGUUGAAGCUUUGUUGGGUACCAUGAAUUGAUUUUGCUUCACACUAUCUUGAUCAAGAUAGUGUGAAGCUUUUGUAGGUGAAGCUUUUAUGUUGAAGUUUUGUAGGUGAAGCUUUUGUGGUUGAAGCUUUUGUGGUGGGUGAAGCUUUUGUUCGUGAAACUUUUAUGGGUGAAGCUUUUGUUGGUGAAGCUUUUAUGGGUGAAGCUUUUGUGGGUGAAGCUUUUGUAGGUGAAGCUUUUGUGGUGGGUGAAGCUUUUGUGGGUGAAGCUUUUAUGGGUGAAGCUUUUGUAGGUGAAGCUUUUGUGGUGGGUGAAGCUUUUGUGGGUGAAGUGGGUGAAGCUUUUGUAGGUGAAGCUACUGUGGGUGAAGCUUUUGUGCGUGAAGCUACUGUGGGUGAAGCUUUUGUGCGUGAAGCUACUGUGGGUGAAGCUUUUGUGCGUGAAGCUACUGUGGGUGAAGCUUUUGUGCGUGAAGCUACUGUGGGUGAAGCUUUUGUGGGUGAAGCUUUGUAGGUGAAGCUUUGGAGUUGAAGCUUUGUAGGUGAAGCUUUUGUGUUGAAGCUUUUGUAGGUGAAGCUUUUGUUGGGUACCCCAUGAAUUGAUUUUGCUUCACACUAUCUUGAUCAAGAUAGAGUGAAGCUUUUGAGAAUUUGUAGUUGUCCUCAAUUGAUGAAGCUUUUGUUGGUGAAGUUUUUGUGGUGAAGCUUUGUUGGGUACCAUGAAUUGAUUUUGCUUCACACUAUCUUGAUCAAGAUAGUGUGAAGCUUUUGAGAAUUUGUAGUUGUCCUCCAUUGAUGAAGCUUUGUUGAAUUUCCUUUUUUUUUUUGGAAAACUAGAAAUUUGUUGAAUUUCCCAACUUCCUUUUUUUUUUUUUUUUUUGGGGAAACUAGAAAUUUGAAAAUGUGGGAGAGACAACAUAUACAAAUUUUACUUCCACACUGUUGAGCAAGAGAUUGUGAUGCAAGCCACACCUUGUAGUAGUUGAAGGUUUGGAUGAACCAUAUAAAUUGAAUUUGCUUUGAACAGUCUUGAUCAAGAGUGUGUGAAGCUUUCUACGAGUUGUAGUUACCCUUCAUUGAUGAAGCUUUUGUUGGCACCAUAAGGUUUUGCUUCACACUGUCUUGAUGAAGAGUGUGUGAAGCUUUUGAGAAUUGUGGUUGAACUCCUUUGAUGAAGCUCUUGUUGGCACCAUAAAUUGGUUUUGCUUAACAUUGUCUUGAUCAAGAGUGUGUGAAGCUUUUGAGAAUUGUGUUUGCCCUCCAUUGAUGAAGCUCUUAUUGGCUCCAUAAAUUGGUUUUGCUUCACACUGUCUUGAUCAAAAGUGUGUGAAGCUUUUGAGAAUUAUGGUUGAACUCCUUUGAUGAAGCCCUUGAUGGCACCAUAAAUUGGUUUCGCUUCACACUAUCUUGAUCAAGAGUGUGUGAAGCUUUUGAGAAUUGUGGUUGCCCUCCAUUGAUGAAGCUCUUAUUGGCACCAUAAAUUAGUUUUGCUUCACAUUGUCUUGAUCAAGAGUGUGUGAAGCUUUUAUGGGUAAAGCUAUUGUGGGUGAAGCUAUUGUGGUGAAGCUUUGUAGGUGAAGCUUUGGAGUUGAAGCUUUGGAGUUGAAGCUUUGUAGGUGAAGCUUUUGUGUUGAAGUUUUUGUAGGUGAAGCUUUGGAGUUGAAGCUUUGUAGGUGAAACUUUGGAGUUGAAGCUUUGUAGGUGAAGCUUUGGAGUUGAAGCUUUUGUUGGGUACCAUGAAUUGAUUUUGCUUCACAAUAUCUUGAUUAAGAUAGUGUGAAGCUUUUGAGAAUUUGUAGUUGUCCUCCAUUGAUGAAGCUUUUGUAGUGAAGCUUUGUUGGGUACCACGAAUUGAUUUUGCUUCACACUAUCUUGAUCAAGAUAGUGUGAAGCUUUUGAGAAUUUUUAGUUGUCCUCCAUUGAUGAAGCUUUGUUGAAUUUCCCUUUUUUUUUUUUUUUUUUUUGAAAGCUAGAAAUUUGUUGAAUUUCCCAAUUUCCUUUUUUUUUUUUGGGAAACUAGAAAUUUGAAAAUGUGGGAAAGACAACAUAUACAAAUUUUGCUUCCACAUUGUUGAGCAAGAGAUUGUGAUACAAGCCACACCUUGUAGUAGUCGAAGGUUUGGAUGAACCAUAUAAAUUGAAUUUGCUUCGAACAGUCUUGGUCAAGAGUGUGUGAAGCUUUCUACGAGUUGUAGUUGCCCUUCAUUGAUGGCACCAUAAAUUGGUUUUGCUUCACACUGUCUUGAUCAAGAGUGUGUGAAGCUUUUGAGAAUUGUGGCUGAACUCCUUUGAUGAAGCUCUUGUUGGCACCAUAAAUUGGUUUUGCUUCACACUGUCUUGAUCAAGAGUGUGUGAAGCUUUUGAGAAUUGUGAUUGAACUCCUUUAAUGAAGCUUUUGUUGGCACCAUAAAUUGGUUUUGCUUCACAUUAUCUUGAUCAAGAGUGUGUAAAGUUUUCUACGAGUUAUAGUGUUUGCAUUGUUACAGAGGGGAAUUGUCUGAAGCAGAUGCAAAAGGGCUGAAUAGCUUAAUCUUCAUAUGCCAUGCACUGAAGUUGUUGUUGGCUUGCAAUAUGACUUUGUUAGUGACUAUAACUCUUGUUGGGCAUAAGUGCUCCCCUAGUUGAGUUGUCAAGCUUGAGGGUUUUUUAUUAUUUAUGAAUGUUAGGAGUUCACAUGUAUGAGUUGUACCACUCAUCUUCUAGUAGGUGAAAUGAAUGGUGAGUUGCUUUCAUGACUUGGUUAAUGGUACGAAGAUGAGUUCCUUCAUCACCUUUCAUCACAUUUCAUCACCUGGUUGGUGGCACGAAGAUGAGUUCCUUCUUCACCUGGUUGGUGGCAUGAAUGGCAAGUUGCCAAAUGAUAUUAGAGUACGGGUUGUACAUUUCAUCACCUAGUUGGUGGCAUGAAGGAAAGUACGGGUUGUACAUUUCGUCACCUGGUUGGUGGCAUGAAGAUGAGUUCCUUCUUCACCUGGUUGGUAGCAUGAGUGGCAAGUUGCCAAAUGAUAUUAGAGUACGAGUUGUACAUUUCAUCACCUGGUUGGUGGCAUGAAGGAGAGUACAGGUUGUACAUUUCAUCACCUGGUUGGUAGCAUGAAGAUGAGUUCCUUCUUCACAUUUCAUCACCUGGUUGGUGAGAAUAAGGGUAAGGUGUCGAGGCACAUUGUAGCAAGUGUCGAAUGACACAAAGUAUGUUGAACCCUUUCGAAGCAUAGUUGGCUUAUGUAUGAAUGUGUUGGAAUGUAUGAUUGAACGAAUAUACUGUGAAGCUGUUUGUUUAUUUAUAUAGUCUUGUUGACAUAUACUUAGACUUUGUUUCAUGUUGUUAACAUUCAUGUUGAAGCUUUGAACCCGAGUGUUUCAUUGCUAGGAAUGUAAGAGGAUUAGGACCGAGUUGUCUAAAUCACCUCUUUAUUGAAUUCCUGCCAAAUAGUCUUCGUUACAUAGGAUGCCGAACAGCUGAAGCUUAACACUUGUACAAUGUGAGUUUACUUGUAAUAGUACUUCAAGUGAUCAGUGUUCCAUGGAUGGCCAAAGGUCUUGCCAUCGGAGCUUUUAAGCUUGUAAGAGCCAGGCGACUGAUGCCAACAACUUCAAACGGUUCAUCCUAGUUUGGACUAAGUGUUCAUUCACUCGGGACUCUGUCGCAGAGUAAUCUUUUCUUCAAUACACAGUCCCCCACUUUGAAAGAACGAGGUUUGACCCUUGAGUCAUAGUAGUUGGAGAUGCACUGCUUGUAGGCGACAUUCCUCAAGUGAGCCUGGUUUCUGUGUUCCUCGACUAGAUCUAAGUUGAAGGUAAGUUGUUUGUCAUUUUCACUUUGCACGUAGUUUUAGACUCGGAACGUUGCUUGCUCAAGCUCAGUUGGGACAACUGUCUCUGUACCAAAGGCAAGUGAGAAUGGGGUUUCUCCUGUUGAUGUUUGAUAUGAAGUGCGGUAUGACCAAAGAACUUGGGGUACAAAUUCUAGCCAACAACCUUUAGCCUUGUCCAAACUGGUUUUCAAAAGUCGCUUGAUUAUUUUGUUGAUGACUUAGACUUGUCCAUUAGACUAGGGAUGAGCUGGGGAGGCAAAACUUAAGUUGAUGUUGAACUUAAAGCAGAACAUCAUGAGCUUAUUGUUGUCGAAUUGUCGCCCGUUGUUAGUGAUUAUCGCAUUGGGAAUGUCGAAUCUACAAAGGAUGUUCUUCCAUACGAAAUCUUCUAUUUUUACCUCAGUAAUGGUUGCCAAGGGUUCUACUUCAGCUCACUUUGUGAAGUAGUCAACUGCAAUGAUGGCAUAGCGGACCUUGCCCUUCCUUGCAGGCAUUGGGCCAAUCAAAUCAAGUCCUCAUUGGGCGAAGGGCCAAAGGCUGAUCAUAGGAGUGAGCGGCUCGGGAGGGGAAUGAGGAAUAGUUACUUAGCGUUGACAUUUAUCACAUGAGUGAGAUAUUCUGAUGGCAUCUUGGUGGAGUGUUAGCUAGUAAUAUCCUGGGCAAAAAGCCUUGUGUGCUAAGGAUCGAGAUCCAGCAUGAUCUCCGCAGACUCCUUCAUGUAUUUCCCGAAUGACAACUUCCGCCUCCGCGAGCGUAAGGCAUCUUAGGUAUGAUAGGUUAAAACCCCGCUUGUAGAGUUAGUCAUUAAUGAUCAAGUAACGGGUAGCCUUGUAUCAAAUUUGCUUAGCUUGGACUUUAUCAUUUAUGAGGGUGCCAUGCGUAAGGAAUUUAUAAAUCGAGGUAAUCCAACUAUCCCCUUGUUGUAAGUUGCACACUUCCACUGCCAUGGUGCUUGGUGCUGCCAACAAUUUGACCUAAAUUUUUCUCCCAAUUUUGUCUUCCAUUGUUGAGGCGAGGCGAGCCAAAGCAUCUGCAUAACUGUUUGCCGCUCGAGGAAUUUAGGUGAUCUGGUAGUGGAAGUGCUUGAGCAACAAUUGUGUUUGUGCCAUAUACGCUGCCAUGGUGCUAUGUUUAGCGUCAAAGUUGUUGGUGACCUGGUUAACCACCAAUUAGGAGUCACUGAAGAUAUUAAUCGUUUAACCCCAAGGUGUUUGGCUAAAUGUAAGCCUACUAGGAGGGCUUCAUAUUCGGCCUCAUUGUUUGAUGCCUUGAAUUUGAAACAAAGAGCAUACUCCAUCGCCACUUUGUCAGGGGUCGUAAGGACUAGUCAUGCUCCACAACCUUGUUGGUUGGACGAGCCAUCAACAUAUAGACUCCAUGCUGGGGCUGUUGGUUCUAUUUUCUGAGCAUCCGAGGGUAAUGAAACCACUUUUUUAGGAGUAUAAACAAUGUCAACAGGAUAUGUGAAGUCGGCGAUGAAGUCUGCCACUGCUUGGCCCUUCUCAGCUGGCUUUGGUUGGUAGAAGAUGUCAAACUCACCCAAUGCUAUCGCCCAUUUUAUCAUUCACCCCGAAGUGUCAGAACUUUGGAGUAUCUGUCGAAGAGGAUGAUUGGUAAGCACAAUGAUAGAGUGUGCUUGGAAGUAAGGGCGAAGUUUUCGAGCAGACAUGACCAAUGCUAGAGCCAAUUUCUCAAUGUUGGAGUAUCGUGUCUUCGCAUCUUGUAAGGCCUUGCUAGCAUAGUAGAUAAGUCGUUCGACAUUACCAUCAUUUAGAAUAAGAACGGAACUUAUGUUGAAGCUGAUACCGAUAGAUAGAUAAUGAGAGUGCCACCAACCUCAGCUUUGAAGAGCAGAAAGGCUUUACUCAUGUAGUCAUUGAGGUUCUUGAAUGCCUCGGCACAUUCAUCAGUCCAUGUAAUGUACUUCUUACUUCCCUUAAGUGCUUUGAAGAAAGGAGCACAUCUAUUUGUGGUCUUAGAGAUGAACCUAGUUAAGGCUGCCACCUUGCUAGUAAGGCUCUGGACGUCUUUUGAAGUUAUUGGUUCCUUCAUGUCGAUCUUCUCGAGAUUAGCCUCAAUGCCUCAUUGGCUGAUCAUGAAGCCUAAGAAUUUUCCAGAGCCUACGCCGAAGGCACAUUUGUUGGGGUUCAACCUCAUUCGAUACCUCUUCAGAAUGGUGAAAGUUUCAAAUAGGUUGGUGAUGUGUUGGUCAGCAUGUUUUCUCUUAACUAGGAUAUCAUCAACGUAAACUUCCAUGCUCUUCCCAAUCUGUUCAACGAAGAUUGAAUUGACCAGUCUCUGAUAAGUCGUUCUUUCAUUUUUUAGGCUGAAGGGCAUGACUUUGUAGCAAUAUAGUCCUCUAUCAAUAGUGAAGGCUGUGUGUUCUUGGUCCGGAGGGUUCAUGAGGAUUUGGUUGUAUCCUGAGUAAGCAUCCAUGAAGCUCAGAAGUUCACACCUUGUCGUAUAGUCUAUAAGUCUGUCUAUAAGAGGAAGAGGAAAGCUAGCCUUCGGGCAUCCUUUGUUUAGGUCGGUGUAAUCGACACACAUUCUCCACAAGACCUUUUGGAGCAAGAGAUUUUCCUUGGUCGGAUUCUUCUUAACAAGGACAACAUUUGCUACCCAUGUUGGAUAAUUGACUUCGCGGACGAAGCCUAUGCCUUUGAGUUUUUCAACUUCUGCCUUCAUUGCCUUGUACCGUUCAGCGUUAUAAGAUCUUCGCUUUUGUCUCACUAGCUUGGUCUUGAGGUCAAUACUUAAGCAAUGAUAGAUGAUAUCGGGCGAGAUGCCUGGCAUGUCCUCAUAUGACCAGGCGAAGACCUCAGUGUUCUCUUACAAAAAAGAGAUCAAUGUCAACCGAAUGAGUGGUGACAAGGUGGUGCCAAUCUUUACCAUGCGAUCUGGAUAAUCUUUUGAUAUAGAAACCUUAUCCAACUCUUCAGCAGGUUGUGCUUGCUAGGUGAAAGAGUCAUCUCGAGGAUCGUCGAGUUGACUGUUGCCACCGUGAAGAUCCAAGUUGGCUUCGUCCGGGCUGGUCUUUAUGACUUGGUCAUGUAUAGAAAAGGUUUCCUUGGGCACAGGCAGGUGUUGUUGCUUAACUGAAGUGUUGUAACAUAACUGUGCACUAAGUUGAUCUCCUAUGAUGUAACCAUUGCCAUAGGGGGUUGGAAAUUUCAUUAACAACAUAUGUGUGGAUAUCAUGGCCUUAAGAUCAUUGAUGCAUGUGCGUCCAAAGAUGACAUUGUAUGCCGUUGGGCAAUCGACUACCAGGAAGUUAGUGGUAAUGACAGCUGUGUAAGGGCCUGUAUCAAUGGUGAAAGGUAAGUGUAUGCUCCCUAUAGGUUGGACGAUAUCACUGGAGAAGUUAUCAAAGGAGAAAUCGAGCGAUCGAGCAAGUGUUCGGCUACAUUAAGUGCCCUGAAAGCUUUAUCAAACAUGAUAUUGACCAAAGCCCCAACGAUCAGUGGGUUGUUGUGAGGGUAGAUGAUACCUCUUUCUUCCUGAAGGUAGAAACAUAUUGGAUCCCAGUUAGGCUUUUGAUACUUGCCUCCCCUGAUGUCUUCCACGUGAAACACUUGGUGGCCAAGCUUUAAAGCUCGUUUGUUGUUUUUCAUGGCCCUAUUAGAAGAUUCAGAUAUGGGUGUGCCGCCACUUAUGGAAUAUAUCACAUUCACUUGACGUUGGUUAUGGUUAUCCCUUGAAGGGUGAAGGAGGAAUCGAUUAAUUUUUCCUUCACUACUUAAAGCUUCAAUAUGAUCACGAAGGGUGAUACACUUUUCACCAUCAUGGCCGUUUUGUUCGUGGUAGCAGCAAAAUGUGCCCGUGUUCUUCGUGGGCUUGUAACCCGACUGCCUCGAUUGGCUUCGAUAUCAGGUGUGCUAUGCUGGGGUAAAUGGCCACACAUGUGGCGUUCAAAGGCAUGUAUGUCUCAUACCUUGGGGCAGGACCUGUCCUGACAUGUGUUUGGCCCACUGUGUUGACUGCCCUGGGGUGGGCAUUAUCGUGGCGAUACCCUUGGUUAUCGCGAUAGUGUCCCUUACUCAUUUUACUAAAAUGAGACUGGUAAGGAUGGAAAUCUUUCCUUUUGUCCUGAGAUUGAUAUGUCUGUUGACUUGGCGAAGUAUUAAGUAAGGCAGGAGGAGGCACCGUUGCCUUUUGGAAGGUCGAGGUCUUCUCAUUUGGUUGGAUCUGGCUUCCACUCCCUACUUGCUGAAAAGGGGUGGCUGUGGGGGGUUUCCCUUGAUAUAUCAUUGCCUCAGCGGAGGCAUGGUUGUAAGCAUGUGCCAUCACCUCAGACUAAGUCUUUCAAGUGUUGGCAUUAAUCAUGUACUUGAAGAAAAAAUCACGUAUGCCUACCGUGAAGGCUUUGAGAGCAGUUUUGUCGUCUGCCUCAGCAUAACGGGAAUACUCAUGGCUGAAGUGGCCAGCAUACAUACGUAAUGACUCGUCUGGCUUCUGGUAAAUAGUUUACAAGUCAUCCGCAAAGUGCAAGCGAUCGAUCUGGAAAAUGUGUUGAGAAAUAAACAAUUUCCUCAAUUCUUCAAAUGAGUCCACCGUCUCAGGUGGAAGACAGCAAUACCAGUUUAGAGCUCCGCCAAAGAGGGUAGAGGGGAAGAGAAGACAUCGCUCUUCGUCGAUAUGCAUCCGGUAUGCCAUGGUGGACUCGAAGAGGUUAAGGUGUUCAAUAGGGUCCUCAUUUCCAGUAUAGUGUUGCAAGCCAAACUUCUGCUUUGUCUUUGCUUGGAGGGGGUGUCAUAGGAGGGCCAGGCCUAGGUUGGUUCCAAUCAGGUAUCUCAGCUUGUUGUUCAGCCUUCAACUUGUUUACUUCCUUAAGGAGCUGUAGGACAAGAGGGUCAUGAGUGGAGUCAUGUACCACUGGAGCUUUCUUUCGUAAAUCUCCAUCUCCUUUUGGAAGUAAGAAGGUUUGAUCAAGAGCAUGUGAUUUUUCCCUGGAUUCACCGUACUGACUUCUAAGGUAUGUUUGUCGGAACAUCUUUGAGUCCCCUAUACCUUCGUGUUACUCUAGGACUUGUUGCCCUUUCCCUAAAUUGGUAGUCGACCUGGGACAUGGGAGGGGACCGAGUUUUUCAGAGACCCUUGGGUCAUUGAUCUUCUUUGCUUACCUGGAUGGGAUUGUCUUGACGUUGCUUUAGGAAGUCUCGACAGUCGCGAAAGACGGCUUUCGAUCAUUCCACUCCUUCUGUAAAAAGGUGCCUUCCUCCACUUCUCCUACUUCGGGUCGAAGCAGCUAGGUUGAGAAAAGUCUCAUGUUGGUCGCCAUUUCGAUGAGUAGCUCGCUCUUCAACAAGAAUACCCAUGUCGAGGGCAAAUGACCCUCCGUGUUAGGGGGCACCCAGUUGAUGGUUAACUUCCAUAUGGGUGAUGAGCUCGUGUGUUUUAGUAUAUCUAGCCUCGUGGAGCAUCUCGAAAACCUUCUUAUACUGCUCUUGGAGGAUUUCAUUCUUCAUCGUUAUCUUGUUGUUCUGAGCCUCCAGCUCAUCGACUUUAGCCUGAAAAGCAAACUUCUUUUGUUCCUUCUUUCGUUGCUUCGCACCAGGUGCAAGAGGGGUGUCAUUCGGUGUGUUGUGGCUUCCUUCGCUCCCCAUGUUGGAAAAGGAUGCCUGGUCAAAAGAGAGUGUACGAAUGGUGGAAACCAGCUUAACAAAGUUGAAGAGAGUGGGAAUAAGUGCCAUUCCCACAGACGCCGCCAAAUGUGAUGCACAAAAUCAGUGGGACUUUGGUACAACAGAAAAUGUUAAGUUUGUGACCUUCGUUAGAUUGCUCGGGUCACUAGUGUGGAUAAGUAUGUAAAUGGAUAGAGACAGGGAAGCAAACACAAGAUAUACGUGGUUCACCCAAAUUGGCUACGUCCACGGAAUAGAGGAGUUCUCAUUAAUUAUGAAGGGUUGACACAAGUACAUAGGUUCAAGCUCUCAUUUAGUGAGUACAAGUGAAUGAUUUAGUACAAAUGACAUUAGGAAAUAUUGUGGAAGAAUGAUCUCAUUUUAUAGAAGAGUUUCUAGCUUUGUUCUGACAUUGACACGUGUCAUGUUAUGAUUGGCUUCUGAUGUUGACACGUGUCAUGUUGUGAUUGGCUUCUGAUGUUGAGACGUGUCACGCUGUGAUUGGCUUCUGAUGUCAACACGUGUCGCACUAUGAUUGGCCUCCUGGUUGGAGGGAAACUCUUCUGGGUCCUUAACAGUAUAACGUUGAUCGAUGCUCAGUAGUUUCGGGAUUGGUCAAGUAUGGUACAAACAAUAAUUAUGCUGAAACUUAUGUAUUUGUGUAAACUCUUCACUAUUAGUGAGAACUCCUCUACUCCAUGAACGUAACUAGACUUAAGGGUGAACCGCGUACAUCUUGUGUUUGCUUCCCAAUCUCCAUCUAUUUACAUAUUAUCCACACCAGGUGACUGGAGCAACCGAGCGAAUGUCACAAACUUGACAUUUUACGUUGUUCCAAAGUCUCCCUGAUUUUGUGCAUUAACAAAAUAAAACAAAAUGAUAAAUUAAUAAAAGAAAAUAGAAAGUAAAAAUAAAAAAUAUUUAAAAUAUACUUAAAAAAAAAAAAGAACAAAUGCACACACUUUUAGGAUAUAUUAUUUUUAUAGGAAAACUAACGAAAAGUUAAAAAAAAAUGGUUAUAAUAAAAAAUGACAAAUAAAGGUGUAGUGAAUAGUACAAGGGAAAGGUAAAAAUGUGGUUUUUCGUUAAAAAUGAACAAUAUCAAAAGGGUUUCGUUAAAACUCCCUAUUUUUAUUUCUCGAAAAGAAAAAAAACAAAUCCAUAUAUCAUUAUUUAAAUAAAAUAAUAAUCACAUGAUGGAUUUCAAGUCAAGAACGAUUUAUAUGAUAUGAGCGAUUUUUCUAAGUAUAAAGUAUUCAAGCGUUUUUUCAAAUGUUAUAAUACAAAUAGAUAAAAUGAUAUAUUUUUCGAUAUCCUUCAAUUUAUUUUAUAACACAUGGAGUAUCUGCUUGAAUACCGAGCACAUAAAAAAUUUCUCGUAUGACACGGUAUAUCAUCAUGGUGACAUUGAGUGCUAAUAUAAUAAAAAUACGUGUAAAUUUUUAUUUUAAUGUCUUUGUUUUAUUGACACAAAAUGUUAAAUGGCAGUAUUAGUUGUUGUCAUUAUGGUCACACCAAAAAAAUCUAUGACAAAAUUAGUGGAAGUUGUGAUGAUGUACACACUAAUGAUGUUCAGCUUAGCUCUCAUGUCCCAUCUUCUUCUUAAACAUUCUACGCACCAUUAGAAUUCUCCACACGAGUGACCAGACAUUGAAAUUAGUGGAAGUUGUGAUGAUGUACACACUAAUGAUGUUCAGCUUAGCUCUCAUGUCCCAUCUUUUUCUUAAACAUUCUACGCACCAUUAGAAUUCUCCACAAGAGUGACCAGACAUUGUUUUCUUAGUACACACUUAAUGGUGCCUACUUUGAGGUCAUAAACUCAGGUAAUAUGCUUGAUGGAGUAGGUGGUCAGCUUAAAAAUCAUAAAUUCAUACUGCCCUAACAAUGAAAGCAGAACAAGUCAAUUUUUGGGAGGCUUCGUCAAGCUUGGUCCACAAUAUGUCCAUUUUAAAAAGUUUCAUUACCGUGACAAUUUGGCAAUGAAUAAGACAUUUCCUUCGGUAACUCUCCUCGACUGGAGACUUAGGGGACACCUACACCCCGGUACUUAAAAGUUUCAUGAUUACUUAGUGACUUGGAUUUGUCAAGUCCCCAACCGAGAAGCUUUCCUCACUCAGAAACUUAGGGGAGGACUGUUUGUAUCAUACUUGACCAAUCCCGAAACUACUGAGCACCGAUCAACGUCAUACCUUCAAGGACCCACCGAGGGGUUCAUGUUAAGGCACUCCUGCUGAAGCACAAAAGUUUUCUUCCAACCAGGAAGUCAAUCACAACACGACACAUAUCAACGUUAGAAUAAAGCUCACAAAGUCCAACAUCAACCGCAGACAAAAGCUGGAGACUUCCAUCAACUAUAAAAGAAGGCCAUUCUCUUACAAUUAAUCUCUAAUGUCAUUAUUGUACUUAAACUAGUAACCCACUGAUGAUAAUUAUGCUUAAAUUUAUGUAUUUGUAUAAACUCUUCACUAUUAGUGAGAACUCUUCUACUCCAUGGACGUAACCAGACUUAGGGGUGAACCACGUACAUCUUGUGUUUGCUUCCUAAUCUCUAUCUAUUUACAUAUUAUCCACACCAAGUGAUCGGAGCAAUCGAGCGAAGGUCACAAACUUGAUAUUUUACGUUGUUCCAAAGUCUCCCUGAUUUUGUGCAUUAACAAAAUAAAAUAAAAUAAAAUAGAAAGUAAAAAUAAAAAAAUAUUAUAUAUAUAUAAUAUCUGUUAUAAUCAAGGGUAAUACCUAUAACCGUCCAUUUAAAUUUCACAGAUAAACAGUUAUACCUAUAACCAUUUGUUUGUUUAAACGGUUACUUAUAACCGUAACUGUGAACUUUAAAUAGGCGGGUACUGCAGUAACCCCCCAUAUGUAUUUUACCCAUCCUUGUCCAUAGUAGUAAGCUUCAAGUUUGUGGGAAAGGAUGGACCACUAACUCCUCAACAGCCUCUCCAGCCAUGAGUAUCUGAAAUAACUGUCUCACGGAAGAGCCAGACAGAGAAAAACGACCAAGAAUCACUUGAAACUACUUGCAGAUAAGCUGUAUUUGUUUUCUUUGUCUUGUCGUCCUGCUUGCUGUUCUCAAACUCCGAAUGGAAAUAAAGAAGAAGCACCAACAGAAAAAAAGGUGUUUGUAUACAACAAUCAAGGGAGAAUUUGGAUCGUACCUUGUCUUUAAUGUCUGAGUGAAUGUUAUCUUUAACUCUGUUUUUGCAGAUGGCUGAAGGUCAUGCUGUCGCAAGAUGGAGCCCUGAAGUAGUUGGGAACAUUUAUGAUUCCCUUGUUCAGCUACGCUUACCCAUCUGCCUUGAGCUGAAGUGUCCCCUUGGCAUUUAUCGCGGGUGAUUGGGUUUUCCCUCUUACCAUCGCGACCGAUGGGACACCCGCGACCCAGAUUCGCACAGGAGUCGGUUUGAAUUAACAAAGAAAGAACAAGGUUUGAGUCGGUGGACCAAAACUGAAAGCAGAAGGGACGAUCAGAGCUAAAUUGAAUUUGUUUUUGGUUGGUGGAUAAUAAAUGGUAUUGAAUUCUCAGAACUGGAUUUCCUGACGAACAGAGAACCUAAGCGAUUGUUAAGUAAGAUUUCCUCACAGUGGAGGUACUCUCACAGAGGAGAGAACAGCUCUCAUGGAAGAGAGAGAUAUCUUUUAGCCAUCUUUUGUGCCUAUAUAAGGAGCAGGCAGAAAGGCAUUUGUUCCUUAACUAAAAGGGUCUCGGAGAAUCGUAAUACCAUCUUGUAUUGGUUAUUUUCUCUUGUAUUGCGACCCGAAAACUCUUUGCCGACUAAGGCAGAAAUUUGCUGAACUGAAUCACACGAAUCUUGGCGUGUUUUCGUAAUUGAUCAUUAUCUUCUUCGCUUACUGUCGACAGAAUUUUACAUACAACUAAAACAUCACGGUAAUGGUAUCGCAAGCUUAUCACGGUGACUCAAUGUUGUGAUAAGGGUUCAUUCCCAACAAUACAAUCUCAUUUUCCCCUCGUGGAACGCCACUCUAUUUUAACAAGGAAAUCAGAUUUACCGAAAAUUUCAAAGUUAACUUGUCAAUGUAAACACACAGGUACUAACAAACGGGACCAUAAUACAGUGGUUGAACACCGAAUCUUCAUUAUCCACUAGCACAUAUAAAUUACAUAGAAUCCCGAAGGAAUAAAGAAGAAGACAACCCAAAUUCAAAAGUCCAAACUCAACAUCAACAAUUCAACUACUUAUUCUUGCUACUGCUAGCCGGCGUCUCGUCCUGCCAGGUUGCUUGCCAUUGCUUAUCAUAAAACGUCGUCUCUUCAAGUAGUUUCUUUAGGUUUUCAACAUCCUCGUUCUUGCGGAUCAGAAGCACUCCCCCUACAGCUACAAACAAUAAUGUUUUGCAGAAGAAAUUGCCCAUUUGGUCAACUAGGCCAACUCCAGUCAAGCUAUCAACAAAAUACGCCAUGAAAAAACCUAUCAUGGCAGCACGACCUGCAGGAAACUCAUAAAAUUACAGAAAGGAUGUUAGUUUAGAGUAUGUCCUCUUCCUUCAUUACACUUGAGUUAAAAUAAGUGGAUCUGAACAGACCGUUAAGUAGUUCAGCUUCAGGUAAAUGGUAUCUCUUUAUCC
rnacentral:lncRNA from 1 species